rnacentral:misc_RNA from 1 species
GAGUUCAUGCCCUCACGGGUAGAUCUCCCACCCUUGAAUAUAUUACCUUUGUUGCUUUGGCGGGCCGCAUCGUCCUCCGGCCCCGGCUGGGGAGUGCCCGCCAGAGGACCCAAACUCUUGUUUCUAGCAGUGGCAUCUUCUGAGUAAUUUUAUAAAUAAAUCAAAACUUUCAACAACGGAUCUCUUGGCUCU